rnacentral:rRNA from 1 species
UACGUAGGGUGCAAGCGUUAAUCGGAAUUACUGGGCGUAAAGCGUGCGCAGGCGGUUUUGUAAGUCUGUCGUGAAAUCCCCGGGCUUAACCUGGGAAUUGCGAUGGAGACUGCAAGGCUAGAAUCUGGCAGAGGGGGGUAGAAUUCCACGUGUGAGCAGUGAAAUGCGUAGAGAUGUGGAGGAACACCGAUGGCGAAGGCAGCCCCCUGGGUCAAGAUUGACGCUCAUGCACGAAAGCGUGGGGAGCAAACGAGGAU